rnacentral:rRNA from 1 species
AGCGAACGCUGGCGGCAGGCCUAACACAUGCAAGUUGAACGAACCUUUCGGGGUUAGUGGCGGACGGGUGAGUAACACGUGGGAACGUGCCUUUAGGUUCGGAAUAACUCAGGGAAACUUGUGCUAAUACCGAAUGUGCCCUUCGGGGGAAAGAUUUAUCGCCUUUAGAGCGGCCCGCGUCUGAUUAGCUAGUUGGUUGAGGUAAUGGCCCACCAAGGCGACGAUCAGUAGCUGGUCUGAGAGGAUGAUCAGCCACAUUGGGACUGAGACACGGCCCAAACUCCUACGGGAGGCAGCAGUGGGGAAUCUUGCGCAAUGGGCGAAAGCCUGACGCAGCCAUGCCGCGUGAAUGAUGAAGGUCUUAGGAUUGUAAAAUUCUUUCACCGGGGACGAUAAUGACGGUACCCGGAGAAGAAGCCCCGGCUAACUUCGUGCCAGCCGCCGCUGUAA